rnacentral:rRNA from 1 species
GCAGUCGAACGAGAAAGCAGGGGCAACUCUGCGAGUAAAGUGGCAAACGGGUGAGUAACACGAUGAACAAUCUACCCUCGAGCGUGGAAUAACUCCGCGAAAGCGGAGCUAUUACCGCAUAACAUCCUCCUGUCGCAUGGCGAGAGGAUCAAAGGCUUCGGUCGCUCGAGGAGGAGUUCGCGCCCGAUUAGCUAGUUGGUGAGGUAACGGCUCACCAAGGCUACGAUCAGUAGCCGGCCUGAGAGGGCGAUCGGCCACACUGGAACUGUGACACGGUCCAGACUCCUACGGGAGGCAGCAGUGGGGAAUUUUGCGCAAUGGGCGAAAGCCUGACGCAGCAACGCCGUGUGGAGGAUGAAGGCCCUCGGGUCGUAAACUCCUGUCAGGGGGGAAGAAAUACCGGGCAACCGGUGCUGACUGUACCCCCGGAGGAAGCCACGGCUAACUCCGUGCCAGCAGCCGCGGUAAUACGGAGGUGGCAAGCGUUGUUCGGAAUUAUUGGGCGUAAAGGGCGCGUAGGCGGCGUGGCAAGUUGGAUGUGAAAGCCCCAGGCUCAACCUGGGAAUUGCAUCCAAUACUGCUGUGCUUGAGUCUUGGAGGGGGUAGUGGAAUUCCCAGUGUAGCGGUGAAAUGCGUAGAUAUUGGGAGGAACACCUGUGGCGAAGGCGGCUACCUGGACAAUGACUGACGCUGAGGCGCGAAAGCUAGGGGAGCGAACGGGAUUAGAUACCCCGGUAGUCCUAGCCGUAAACGAUGGGCACUUGGUGAUGGGGGUAUUGAGUCCCUCAGUGCCGGAGUUAACACGUUAAGUGCCC